rnacentral:rRNA from 1 species
GACGAACGCUGGCGGCGUGCCUAAUACAUGCAAGUCGAGCGAACGGACGAGAAGUUUGCUUCUCUGAUGUUAGCGGCGCACGGGUGUGUCACACGUGGAUACUCCACCUAUAAGACUGGUAUCACUUCGGGACACCGGAGCUAACACCGGAUAAUAUUUUGAUCCGCAUGGUUCAAAAGUGAAAUACGGUCUUGCUGUUACUAAUAGAUGGAUCCGGGCUUCAUUAGCUAGUUGGUAAGGUAACGGCUUACCAAGGCAACGAUGCAUAGCCGACCUGAGAGGGGGAUCGGCCACACUGGAACUGGGACACGGUCCAGACUCCUACGGGAGGCAGCAGUAGGGAAUCUUCGGCAAUGGGCGAAAGCCUGACGGAGCAACGCCGCGUGAGUGAUGAAGGUCUUGGGUUCGUAAAACUCUGUUAUUGGGGAAAAACAGAUGUGGAAGGAAAUGUGCACAUCGUGACGGUACCUAAUCAGAAAGCCACGGCUAACUACGUG